AUUGAACGCUGGCGGAAUGCUUUACACAUGCAAGUCGAGCGGAACUUAGGGGCUUGCUCCUAAGUUUAGUGGCGAACGGGUGAGUAACAUAUCGGAACGUAUCCAUUAAGUGGGGGAUAACUAAUCGAAAGGUUGGCUAAUACCGCAUACGCCCUACGGGGGAAAGCAGGGGAUCUUCGGACCUUGCGUUAAUGGAGCGGCCGAUAUCUGAUUAGCUAGUUGGUGAGGUAAAGGCUCACCAAGGCGACGAUCAGUAGCUGGUCUGAGAGGACGACCAGCCACACUGGAACUGAGACACGGUCCAG
rnacentral:rRNA from 1 species